rnacentral:piRNA from 1 species
UGGUCAGUCCUAAGAGAUCGUUGGUAGU